AUGCCAUAUCUUCCACACGAAGGCCGCAUCAAUGAAAGGUCCGUCAAGGUCAUCGUCGAUGGAGGGAGUUGCCAUAACUUAGCAAGUGAAGAACUAUGCUCCAAGCUCCAAUUGGUCAAGAUGAAGCACCCCCAUCCAUACAUGGUUCAAUGGCUAAGCGACUCCGGCACUAUCCAAGUCGAGCAUAUGAUACAAGUUUCCUUCAAGAUCGGAGCAUACGAAAACAUUUUGGAGUGUGAUGUUGUUCCUAUGUCCGUCUGCCACCUCCUUGGACGACCAUGGCAAUUUAACCGAGGCGUCAUCCACAACGGGCGAACAAACCACUAUAGCUUCAAGAUGAAGGAAAAUGACUACGUGUUAUGCCCUAUGUCGCCUAGUCAAGUGAUCGCCGACAAGCAAGCCACCCAUCGCGAAGAGAACAGUGAGAGAGCAAACCACCAAAAAGAGAAUGAGCGCCACAAGCCCAAAUUGAGUGCCUCCAUGAUGAGCGACAAGAAAAACUUAGUACUAUUUGCCACAAAAAGUGAGAUGAGAGAAGUGUGUGAGAACCCAUCAAGUGGUAUGCACUAUGUCCUUUUGUGCAAGGACGAGACACCAAAAACUAAUACAUCUCACCCUCUACCUUUAGCGGUGUCUUCUCUUUUGCAGGAAUUCCAAGAUGUUUUUCCCAAUGAGCUACCUCUGGGACUAUCACCACUAAGAGGCAUUGAACACCGAAUCGACCUCAUCCCCGGAGCACCCCUUCCUAACAAGGCUCCCUACCGCAUCAACCCCGAGGAAACUAAGGAGAUCCAACGGCAAGUACAACAACUCAUCGACAACGCCAUGUACGAGAAAGUUUGA
rnacentral:rRNA from 1 species